rnacentral:rRNA from 1 species
CCCGGCCCGCAAUCGGGAUACGCCUGUAUGCAGCAACGCCGCGUGAGUGAUGAAGGCUUUCGGGUCGUAAAACUCUGUCCUAAAGGAAGAAUAAUGACGGUACUUUAGGAGGAAGCCCCGGCUAACUACGUGCCAGCAGCCGCGGUAAUACCUACGUGCCCACCCCCGCGGUAAUACCUACGUGCCAGCAGCCGCGGUAAUACGUACGUGGCAGCAGCCGCGGUAAUAUAUACUUGUCUCCACCCGGGGUAUUACUUCGUUGGCGCCAGUGCGUGGUAUAGCCCUGGGGCGGGGUGGGUGCCUGGGUUUUUUUUUUUUGUGU